rnacentral:rRNA from 1 species
ACGCUCGACACCUACGGGGAGGCGGCAGUGGGGAAGUAUUGCACAAUGGGGGAAACCCGUGAUGCAGCGACGCCGCGUGAGACGAAGAAGUUAUUUCGGUAUAGUAAAGCUUCUANACAGNAGGGAANAAGAAAGCGGUACNGACUAAGACGCCCCGCUAACGUACGUGCUAGCAGCCGACGGUAAUCGUGGACGGCGGGGCUGGGACAAGGC